UACAGAGGUCCCGAGCGUUGUUCGGAUUCAUUGGGCGUAAAGGGUGCGUAGGCGGUUAGGUAAGUUUGAUGUGAAAUCCUGGGGCUCAACCCUGGAACUGCAUUGAAUACUGCUUGACUAGAGUACUGGAGAGGAAACUGGAAUUCACGGUGUAGCAGUGAAAUGCGUAGAGAUCGUGAGGAAGACCAGUGGCGAAGGCGAGUUUCUGGACAGUUACUGACGCUGAGGCACGAAGGCUAGGGGAGCAAACGGG
rnacentral:rRNA from 1 species